rnacentral:rRNA from 1 species
GCAAGUCGAACGAAGUAGCAAUACUUAGUGGCAGACGGGUGAGUAACAUGUGGGUAUCUUCCCUUUGGUGAGGAAUAACACGAGGAAACUUGUGCUAAUACCUCAUAAGUCUUUACGGAGAAAGCUUUAUGCGCCAAUGGAUGAGCCCGCACUUGAUUAGUUUGUUGGUGGGGUAAUGGCCUACCAAGACUUUGAUCAAUAGCUGAUUUGAGAGGAUGAUCAGCCACAUUGGGUCUGAGACGCGGCCCAAACUCCUACGGGAGGCAGCAGUAAGGAAUCUUGCACAAUGGAGGAAACUCUGAUGCAGCGAUGCCGCGUGAGUGAAGAAGGCCUUUGGGUUGUAAAGCUCUUUCGUCGGGGAAGAAAAUGACUGUACCCGAAUAAGAAGGUCCGGCUAACUUCGUGCCAGCAGCCGCGGUAAUACGAAGGGACCUAGCGUAGUUCGGAAUUACUGGGCUUAAAGAGUUCGUAGGUGGUUAAAAAGGUUGGUAGUGAAAUCCCAGAGCUUAACUCUGGAACUGCUAUCAAAACUUUUUAGCUAGAGUAUGAUAGAGGAAAGCAGAAUUUCUAGUGUAGAGGUGAAAUUCGUAGAUAUUAGAAAGAAUACCAAUUGCGAAGGCAGCUUUCUGGAUCAUUACUGACACUGAGGAACGAAAGCAUGGGUAGCGAAGAGGAUUAGAUACCCUUCGUAGUCCAUGCCGUAAACGAUGUGUGUUAGACGUUGGAAAUUUAUUUUCAGUGUCGCAGCGAAAGCGAUAAACACACCGCCUGGGGAGUACGACCGCAAGGUUAAAACUCAAAUGAAUUGACGGGGACCCGCACAAGUAGUGGA